UAGAGUUUGAUCCUGGCUCAGAUUGAACGCUGGCGGCAGGCUUAACACAUGCAAGUCGAGCGGUAACAGGUCCAGCUUGCUGGAUGCUGACGAGCGGCGGACGGGUGAGUAAUGCAUAGGAAACUGCCCAAUAGUGGGGGAUAGCCCGGGGAAACCCGGAUUAAUACCGCAUACGUCCUACGGGAGAAAGCAGGGGCUCUUCGGACCUUGCGCUAUUGGAUGUGCCUAUGUCGGAUUAGCUAGUUGGUGGGGUAAAGGCCUACCAAGGCGACGAUCCGUAGCUGGUCUGAGAGGAUGAUCAGCCACAUCGGGACUGAGACACGGCCCGAACUCCUACGGGAGGCAGCAGUGGGGAAUAUUGGACAAUGGGGGCAACCCUGAUCCAGCCAUGCCGCGUGUGUGAAGAAGGCUUUCGGGUUGUAAAGCACUUUCAGUGAGGAGGAAAACCUUAUGGUUAAUACCCAUGAGGCUUGACGUUACUCACAGAAGAAGCACG
rnacentral:rRNA from 1 species